rnacentral:rRNA from 1 species
GCGUACAGUCAUGCCACCCUGAACACGUCCAAUCUUGUCUGAUCUCGGAAGCUAAGCAGGGUCGGGCCUGGUUAGUACUUGGAUGGGAGACCACCUUGGAAGAUCAGGUACGGUAGGCG